GUGGGGAAUAUUGGACAAUGGGCGAAAGCCUGAUCCAGCCAUGCCGCGUGUGUGAAGAAGGUCUUCGGAUUGUAAAGCACUUUAAGUUGGGAGGAAGGGCAGUAAGUUAAUACCUUGCUGUUUUGACGUUACCAACAGAAUAAGCACCGGCUAACUUCGUGCCAGCAGCCGCGGUAAUACGAAGGGUGCAAGCGUUAAUCGGAAUUACUGGGCGUAAAGCGCGCGUAGGUGGUUCAGCAAGUUGAAGGUGAAAUCCCCGGGCUCAACCUGGGAACUGCCUCCAAAACUGAAUGACUAGAGUACGGUAGAGGGUAGUGGAAUUUCAUGUGUAGCGGUGAAAUGCGUAGAUAUAGGAAGGAACACCAGUGGCGAAGGCGACUACCUGGACUGAUACUGACACUGAGGUGCGAAAGCGUGGGGAGCAAACAGGAUUAGAAACCCCGGUAGUCC
rnacentral:rRNA from 1 species